GACGAACGCUGGCGGCGUGCUUAACACAUGCAAGUCGAACGGAAAGGCCCUGCUUUUGUGGGGUGCUCGAGUGGCGAACGGGUGAGUAACACGUGAGUAACCUGCCCUUGACUUUGGGAUAACUUCAGGAAACUGGGGCUAAUACCGCAUAGGAGCUCCUGCUGCAUGGUGGGGGUUGGAAAGUUUCGGCGGUUGGGGAUGGACUCGCGGGUUAUCCGCUUGUUGGUCGGGUAGUUGCUUACCAAGGCUUUGACGGGUAGCCGGCCUGAGAGGGUGACCGGCCACAUUAGGCCUGAGAGACGGACCAGACGCCUACGUGACGCAGCAGUGGGGAAUAUUGCACAAUGGGGGGAAGCGUGAUGCAGCGACGCCGCGUGCGGGAUGACGGCCUUCGAGUGGUAAACCGCUUUCGCCUGUGACGAAGCGUGAGUGACGGUAAUGGGUAAAGAAGCACCGGCUAACUACGUG
rnacentral:rRNA from 1 species